CGAAAGUUACGCUAAUACCGCAUACGAUCUAUGGAUGAAAGCGGGGGAUCGCAAGACCUCGCGCGAUUGGAGCGGCCGAUAUCAGAUUAGGUAGUUGGUGAGGUAAAGGCUCACCAAGCCGACGAUCUGUAGCUGGUCUGAGAGGACGACCAGCCACACUGGGACUGAGACACGGCCCAGACUCCUACGGGAGGCAGCAGUGGGGAAUUUUGGACAAUGGGCGCAAGCCUGAUCCAGCAAUGCCGCGUGCAGGAUGAAGGCCUUCGGGUUGUAAACUGCUUUGUACGGAACGAAACGGUGAGCUCUAAUACAGUUUGCUAAUGACGGUACCGUAAGAAUAAGCACCGGCUAACUACGUG
rnacentral:rRNA from 1 species